GUCGACUUUCGGGGGCGGGUGGAAUUCCCGCACCGGCGGUGAGCCCGACGGGGGCCGUUCCCCCGCUGGAGAGUCCGCGAACCCCAGCCCGAGGGCCGGGGCCGAGCCGGUGAGAUUCCGGCACCGACGGUAAAAGUCCGGAUGGGAGAAAGGAAAC
rnacentral:ncRNA from 1 species